rnacentral:rRNA from 1 species
UUAAGUACACCCCGCCAGUACGGCGAAAAUGCGGACGGCUCAUUAAAUCAGUUAUGGUUCCUUAAAUCGUACACCGAGGCGGCCGCGCCUCCCUACUUGGAUAACUGUGGCAAUUCUAGAGCUAAUACAUGCAACACACUCCGACCUCGUCUCGGCGAGGAACGAGCGCUUUUGUUAGCCUCCAAGACAGUCCGCGGUCCSCCCUCGAAAGGGGCGCGGGCCCGGCUGUYGUGGUGACUUGGACAACUUUGUCCGAUCGCACGCCCUUUCACGCGGCGGAUUAUCAAGUGUCUGCCCUAUCACACUGUCGAUGGUAGUCCUCUCCUACCAUGGUGCAACGGGUAACGGGGAAUCAGGGUUCGAUUCCGGAGAGGGACAUGAACACGGCUACCACACCAAGGAAGGCACAGGCGCCAAUUACCCACUCCCGACACGGGGAGGUAGUGACGAAAAAUAUCAAUGCGGUUUCCGCCGGAGAUCGCGUAAUUGGAAUGAGUGGA